GGCCGCGAAUUCGCCCUUAGAGUUUGAUUCUGGCUCAGGAUGAACGCUGGCGGCGUGCCUAAUACAUGCAAGUCGAGCGAGGCCCUUCGGGGCCUAGCGGCGGACGGGUGAGUAACACGUGGGUAACCUGCCUGUAAGACUGGGAUAACUUCGGGAAACCGAAGCUAAUACCGGAUAAUUUCGAGCAUCGCAUGAUGCUUGAUGGAAAGACGGCUUCGGCUGUCGCUUACGGAUGGACCCGCGUCGCAUUAGCUAGUUGGUGAGGUAACGGCUCACCAAGGCGACGAUGCGUAGCCGACCUGAGAGGGUGAUCGGCCACACUGGGACUGAGACACGGCCCAGACUCCUACGGGAGGCAGCAGUAGGGAAUCUUCGGCAAUGGGCGAAAGCCUGACCGAGCAACGCCGCGUGAGCGAUGAAGGCCUUCGGGUCGUAAAGCUCUGUUGUUAAGGAAGAACAAGUACGAGAGUAACUGCUCGUACCUUGACGGUACUUAACGAGAAAGCCACGGCUAACUACGUGCCAGCAGCCGCGGUAAUACGUAGGUGGCGAGCGUUAUCCGGAAUUAUUGGGCGUAAAGCGCGCGCAGGCGGUUUCUUAAGUCUGAUGUGAAAGCCCACGGCUCAACCGUGGAGGGUCAUUGGAAACUGGGAAACUUGAG
rnacentral:rRNA from 1 species